CUCUCCACAGAAGGCCGCUAAGAGCCUUUGUUGAAUUUAUUUGGCUGACAAUGAAAAACAACUUCCUGAGCUGCCUUUUUGAUAACCCCUCAGCACAGCUAAAUGAUGUCUC
rnacentral:lncRNA from 1 species